UAAUAAAACCAAAGAUUAGACUAAGAUGAAACAUGCACCAAUGGUUAGGUAUCUAAAAUACAAAUAUCCCAAGCUUUGAAACGCGACAUUUAAACAAGGACCAAAUUGCAGCAAUGCAUAAACCACAGGGAAAAUGUAAAAACAAAUAAACAGAAUCAAGGCCGAAAAACAGAUCAAUGCAGGAUAGGAGGGACUCGUCGUGCAAAUUGACCAAUUAAGGUGAAAAGGCACGGAUCCGGGCCUCCAAACGGGUCAACGUGUGGAUCCUUUCUUUACCAAAUGGCGCUGUUUCAUAUGCUUCAGAAAAAAAAAGAGAAAAACCCUAAAUGAACCCUUAAUCUCCUUAAACAAAAAAAACUAAGCUUACUAUCUCUCUUAUUCAGCAGAAUUAAAAUCAUCGGCCAUUUUGCCUCUAUACUCGGUGGAUAACAGCAUAUGAAGGCUUAUCCUGGCCUUAUUCGACGCAAAUAUGAGGGUUUUGUUAUGCUCAACCUCAAUCCCCAUCUAGCUUCGAUUACCAUGAAGCAAACAAGGAUUCGAAACCUCCUAAGCAAAAUAAGUAUUUGUGCUUUCAUUUAUUUUAUUUUUUACAUACAAUAACAAAAGAUUAAAGAAAAAUGGAAGAGAAAACGAAAGAAAAAAAUAAGAUUUACAAUCACCUCUUCAAAACUGUUUUUCCUCUAGUCAAACUUUUUGUACAGAUUUGUAUGCGUAAAUCCCCCCCAAAUACACUGUUGCACUUGGCUUUUUAGAGCCAAAAAUGAAAAAAAUUAAACACACAUUUUCUGCUUUCUAUUUUCUCCUUUGCUGUAUUCAGUUGUGGUUUGUUAAUUUGUUGCAGGAGGAUCCAGUUGGAGGUGAUGGCGCACGUGGAGCGUGAAGCAAUGACGCGGGUGGAAGCUGGCACGAAGGCAGCAGCGACACAAGGGAAAGAAACCCUAGGGUUUCUGUUCAAAAGUGUCCUGGGCUGUUUGGGCAUUGGGCCACUAUAAUUGGGUCGGGUUUUAUUUGGGCUUGGUUUAGUUGUUGGGCUGUUGUAAAUGUACUAUGUACAAUUAUUAUUUGGAUUUUAUUUUGUUAUUUUGUUUUGCUUUUUUAUUUUGGUUCUGGUAUGGGCCCGGGAGAAAUAGGCCUAUUACAGCCCUAUUAUUUCACAUUUUUGCAAUUUAGUCAUUAUCACAUAAAAUUACAAAUUCAUGCAAUUA
rnacentral:lncRNA from 1 species